rnacentral:rRNA from 1 species
UACGUAGGGUGCAAGCGUUGUCCGGAAUUAUUGGGCGUAAAGAGCUCGUAGGCGGUUUGUCGCGUCUGCUGUGAAAACUCGGGGCUCAACUCCGAGCUUGCAGUGGGUACGGGCAGACUAGAGUGCGGUAGGGGAGACUGGAAUUCCUGGUGUAGCGGUGGAAUGCGCAGAUAUCAGGAGGAACACCGGUGGCGAAGGCGGGUCUCUGGGCAACAACUGACGCUGAGGAGCGAAAGCCAGGGGAGCAAACGGG